AGCUGUAAACCUAGCCCUCAAGAAACAAUAACCCUUAAACCCCAACUAAAUCAUUUAUACUCUUCAGUAUAGGAGAUAAAAAAAGAAAUAAGCGCAAUAGACAAAGUACCGUAAGGGAAAGAUGAAAUAGUUAUGAAAUAACCACCAAAGCACUAAAAAGCAGAGAUAUAUCCUCGUACCUUUUGCAUCAUGGUCUAGCAAGAAACCUUAAGCAAAACGCAUUAAAGUUUAACCCCCCGAAACUAGACGAGCUACUCCGAGGCAGCUAUAAGAGCAAACCCAUCUCUGUGGCAAAAGAGUGGAAAGACCCCCGA
rnacentral:rRNA from 1 species